UCCGUCUUAUCGACGGCAGUCUCUUUAGAGUUCCCACCUUUACGUGCUGGCAACUAAAGAUAAGGGUUGCGCUCGUUGCGGGACUUAACCCAACAUCUCACGACACGAGCUGACGACAACCAUGCACCACCUGUAAUACUGUCUCCGAAGAGAAAGGUAUAUCUCUAUACCGGUCACUAUUAUGUCAAGUCCUGGUAAGGUUCUUCGCGUUGCUUCGAAUUAAACCACAUGCUCCGCUGCUUGUGCGGGUCCCCGUCAAUUCCUUUGAGUUUCAUACUUGCGUACGUACUCCCCAGGCGGAGUGCUUAUUGUGUUAACUGCGGCACCGAGGUCACCCCCGACACCUAGCACUCAUCGUUUACAGCGUGGACUAC
rnacentral:misc_RNA from 1 species